rnacentral:rRNA from 1 species
GACGAACGCUAGCGGCGUGCCUAAGGUAUGCAAGUCGAACGGGUCCGGUUCCUUCGGGAGCCGGGCUAGUGGCGAACGGUCGAGGAACACGUAGGCAACCUGCCUCCAGGUGGGGGAUAACAGCUCGAAAGGGCUGCUAAUACCGCAUGUGGCGAGGAGAGGCAUCUCUCUUCUGCUAAAGGUUUACUGCCUGGAGAUGGGUCUGCGGCCUAUCAGGUAGUUGGUGGGGUAACGGCCUACCAAGCCGACGACGGGUAGCGGGUCUGAGAGGAUGAUCCGCCGGACGGGGACUGAGACACGGCCCCGACUCCUUCGGGAGGCAGCAAUGAGGAAUAUUGCGCAAUGGGGGAAACCCUGACGCAGCGACGCCGCGUGGGUGAGGAAGUCCUUCGGGAUGUAAAGCCCUUUUCUCGGAGACGAACCCCCGGGUGUUGAGCCCGGGCUGACGGUAUCCGAGGAAGAAGCCCCGGCUAACUACGUGCCAGCAGCCGCGGUAAUAC